GCGUGUGAGGAUCUGCAGAAAAGAAUGGCAGAACAUCCCCAAAUCCAGGGUAUUGAGUGUAGAUUGAUGAGCUCAAUAAGGAUUGGAACAACAUUGACGGGGGGAAACACCCAAAGUCCA